UACGUAGGGAGCAAGCGUUGUCCGGAAUCAUUGGGCGUAAAGCGCGCGUAGGCGGCCCGGUAAGUCCGUUGUAAAAGUCGAAGGCUCAACCUUCGAAAGCCGAUGGAUACUGCCGGGCUAGAGUUCGGAAGAGGCGAGUGGAAUUCCUGGUGUAGCGGUGGAAUGCGCAGAUAUCUGGAGGAACACCGGUGGCGAAGGCGGCAUCCUGGACCAAUUCUGACGCUGAGUGAGCGAAAGCCAGGGGAGCAAACGGG
rnacentral:rRNA from 1 species